UUGCCGGUGGAAGUCCGGUCCGGGUAGCUGCCAGGAGGCCCGGUAGCAGGCUGGCGGCUUCGUCUGGAAACGGGCGGGGUCGAAGCCCAGCGUCAAAGGCCCGGCCGCAAGGUCGGGAACAAGG
rnacentral:ncRNA from 1 species